CAACGGAUCUCUUGGUUCCGGCAUCGAUGAAGAACGCAGCGAAAUGCGAUAAUUAAUGUGAAUUGCAGAAUUCAGUGAAUCAUCGAGUCUUUGAACGCACAUUGCACCCCCUGGUAUUCCGGGGGGUAUGCCUGUCCGAGCGUCAUU
rnacentral:rRNA from 1 species